rnacentral:pre_miRNA from 1 species
UAAAAAGCAUACGGACCGUCGGUCUACCGAGCAAUAUCACCCUCUCGGUGGAAGAUCUUCCCUUUGUCGUAAGCC